UACAAGAGUUUCGUGAUGAACUAUAACAUGCAAGGGAUGGAUAAGACGAUUCUCGAGCUCUUCGCAAUGCUAAAGGCUGCGGAGGUAGAAAUCAAAAAGGAGCAUCAAGUGUUGAUGGUCAAUAAGACCACCAGUUUCAAGAAAAAGGGCAAAGGGAAGAAGGGGAACUUCAAGAAGAACAGCAAGCAAGUUGCUGCUCAGGAGAAGAAACCCAAGUCUGGACCUAAGCCUGAGACUGGGUGCUUCUACUGCAAGCAGACUGAUUACUGGAAGCGGAACUGCCCUAAGUAUUUGGCGGAUAAGAAGGAUGGCAAGGAGAACAAA
rnacentral:rRNA from 1 species